ACGCUCGACACCUACGGGAAGCAGCAGUGGGGAAUAUUGCACAAUGGGGGAAACCCUGAUGCAGCGAUGCCGCGUGAAGGAAGAAGUAUCUCGGUAUGUAAACUUCUAUCAGCAGGGAAGAAAAUGACGGUACCUGACUAAGAAGCCCCGGCUAACUACGUGCCAGCAGCCGCGGUAAUCUGAGCGGGCUGGCAAGGC
rnacentral:rRNA from 1 species